CUCUGGGCCUGCCUGUGAGUGUGGAUGGGAUGAGACCGGGAUCUGCCUCCUCACUUCCCAACUCAGGACAGUGAGCUCCCCUGGAGCUGUGAGCCAAGAUAAACCCUUCAUCCUUAGAUUGCUUUUGUCGGAAGUAUUUUAUCACACCAACAGGAAGAGAAACCAGAACAGCACCCGCUGAAGGAAGGAUGUCUCCGGUCACUGAGCCACCAUCUCUUGUUAGCACAAAUGCCUAGAACCAACAGACAACACAGGACAUUGUAAGAUGCUGUGGAAAGUGUAGGCUGUUUGGAAAACCACCUAGCAGCUCCCAAAAAGUUCAACAACCACCACAGAAGGAAGAGCCACAUAACCCAGGGACUUGGACCUCCAGCACUCAGAACCCGGCCUAGACCCAAGGCUCUCUGGAUAAGGUCCAGGUAAACCGCCCUGAGGACACUUCUGUUCUCCGGAAGCUUGCGAUGGAGGCCUCAGGAAAAAGCAGACAAGAAAACGCUAGCGGCUGGCAACAAAGGCUCUGUUCCUGGAGACGAACGGUUCCAUUUUGCAAGAAUACUUUCCAAGAGAUUCUAAUCAAAUCUGAGUGAAGAGCCUGUCUCUGUAUUCUCUUAACUGAAGACAUACCUGCCCCGUGCAUAGCCUGUUCGUUGUCAACAGACAUCCAUCUCCAAGGAAUAUCUGUGCACUUCUCUUGCAGAGGUCAGCGGACGGACGACUAGUGGGCACUGCCUCUUCCAAUUUGACGGCAAGUGUCUUCUUUGCCUUCUCAGCCACCUGAGAACCCAGAAGAGUUGCAAAGCUGAGCUCUCACUAAUAAUAAAACUAGAAACAACAACGAUAAUAAUAAA
rnacentral:lncRNA from 1 species